AGAUUGAACGCUGGCGGCAUGCCUUACACAUGCAAGUCGAACGGCAGCACGGGAGCAAUCCUGGUGGCGAGUGGCGAACGGGUGAGUAAUACAUCGGAACGUGCCCAGUAGUGGGGGAUAGCCCGGCGAAAGCCGGAUUAAUACCGCAUACGACCUACGGGUGAAAGCGGGGAUCGCAAGACCUCGCGCUAUCGGAGCGGCCGAUGUCAGAUUAGCUUGUUGGCGGGUAAAAGCCCACCGAAGGCAACGAUCUGUAGCUGGUCUGAGAGGACGACCAGCCACGACUGGGACUGAGACACGGCCCAGACUCCGUACGGGAGCGAGCAGGUGGGAAUUUUGGACAAGUGGCGCAAGCCUGAUCCAGCCA
rnacentral:rRNA from 1 species